rnacentral:rRNA from 1 species
AGUGAACGCUGGCGGUAGGCCUAACACAUGCAAGUCGAACGGCAGCACAGUAAGAGCUUGCUCUUACGGGUGGCGAGUGGCGGACGGGUGAGGAAUACAUCGGAAUCUACUUUUUCGUGGGGGAUAACGUAGUGAAACUUACGCUAAUACCGCAUACGACCUACGGGUGAAAGCAGGGGAUCUUCGGACCUUGCGCGAUUGAAUGAGCCGAUGUCGGAUUAGCUAGUUGGCGGGGUAAAGGCCCACCAAGGCGACGAUCCGUAGCUGGUCUGAGAGGAUGAUCAGCCACACUGGAACUGAGACACGGUCCAGACUCCUACGGGGGGCAGCAGUGGGGAAUAUUGGACAAUGGGCGCAAGCCUGAUCCAGCCAUACCGCGUGGGUGAAGAAGGCCUUCGGGUUGUAAAGCCCUUUUGUUGGGAAAGAAAAGCAGCAGGUUAAUACCCCGCUGUUCUGACGGUACCCAAAGAAUAAGCACCGGCUAACUUCGUG